rnacentral:rRNA from 1 species
AUGGCUAUUUCUGAGGCAUGCAAAGAAGCUAUCUGGUUGAAAGGUUUAUACACUGAGCUUUGUGGAGAUUCAUCUUGCCCUACCAUAUUUUCUGACAGUCAAAGUGCCAUAUAUCUUACAAAGAAUCCAAUGUAUCAUGAGAGGACAAAGCACAUUGAUGUCAGAUUUCAUUAUCUUCGAGAUGUUGUUGCUGAAGACGAUUUGAAGGUAUGCAAGAUAAGUACUCAUGAUAAUCCUGCUGAUAUGAUGACAAAGCCAGUUCCGACCAAUAAGUUUGAGCUUUGCUCAGGCUUAGUUGGUAUUUCUCACUAG